AGAGUUUGAUCCUGGCUCAGAAUCAACGCUGGCGGCGUGCCUAACACAUGCAAGUCGAACGAGGUCCAAGCAGUCGCAAGACUGUGGAAGACCGAGUGGCGAACGGGUGCGUAACACGUGAGGAACUUGUCCCGGUCUCUGGAAUAACAGGUGGAAACACCUGCUAAUACCGGAUGCCGUCGGAUCAUCGCAUGGUGGUCUGACGAAAGGGUUACCGGAUCGGGAGAGCCUCGCGGCCUAUCAGCUUGUUGGUGAGGUAAUGGCUCACCAAGGCAUCGACGGGUAGCUGGUCUGAGAGGAUGAUCAGCCACACUGGGACUGAGACACGGCCCAGACUCCUACGGGAGGCAGCAGUGGGGAAUCUUGCACAAUGGGCGAAAGCCUGAUGCAGCAACGCCGCGUGCGGGAAGAAGGCCCUAGGGUUGUAAACCGCUUUCAGCAGGGAAGAAAAUGACGGUACCUGUAGAAGAAGGUGCGGCCAACUACGUACCAGCAGCCGCGGUGACACGUAGGCACCAAGCGUUGUCCGGAUUUAUUGGGCGUAAAGAGCUCGUAGGCGGUUCGGUAAGUCGGGUGUGAAAACUCUGGGCUCAACCCAGAGCCGCCACCCGAUACUGCUGUGACUUGAGUGCGGUAGGGGAGCGGGGAAUUCCUGGUGUAGCGGUGAAAUGCGCAGAUAUCAGGAGGAACACCAGUGGCGAAGGCGCCGCUCUGGGCCGUGACUGACGCUGAGGAGCGAAAGCGUGGGUAGCAAACAGGAUUAGAUACCCUGGUAGUCCACGCCGUAAACGUUGGGCACUAGGUGUGGGUCUCAACCAACGAGAUCCCCGCCGUCGCUAACGCAUUAAGUGCCCC
rnacentral:rRNA from 1 species